ensembl:lncRNA
AAAGAGAAAAUAGACAAAAGACAAAAGGUGGCUUGCAGAAGAUCAUACAAAGCAUCCAUGCCUGUACUUACCGUGGCACCUAGGGGACGUCUCCUAGAGAGGGUCCAUUGCUCUGUGUUCUACCUAAAGUGAAAGUUAAGAAAUGUGGAGAAAGUCAGGGCAGUGACUUUGGAAUGGCAGGUGCCCACAGGAGAGGGGUGGGGCAGGCAACAAGCAGGAAGUUCCCAAGUAGGUGGAGCUCUGGGAUAGUCUUUGGGUCUAAAGUAAUGAAAGGUAUUUUGAAAUACAGGCUGGAGUGUCAGCAGUCCUGUUAUAAGAAAACCCAAAAAUUAUAGUGAAGGGAGAAUUGGAGCUCAGGAAAAAGCAGAGAGAUUUUACAAGGCAGCAUUGGGGACAAUCUCUGAGGGGAAUUUAGACUGCUUUUCUCUGAUGCUAUGGGGUUAUUCUCUUGCUGUAUAAAUUCCCUGUGGCUCCCUAUUUUCUGUUUAUGUCCCUUACAAAGUGGUCUCUGGCAUGUGACUGGCCAUAAUGAGGUAGGGCUGAGAAAAUGAGCAGCAUGGGGACCAGGUCAUGUGUUCAGCUGUGGGGAUGGAAGUGGGGAACAGAAAAGAUGAGCUGAUCAUCUGAAGCAUUCAAGUUCAAGAUAAGAUGCAUUAUGUGGCUUCUAUAGGCAAGUCUUUGUUCUCAGUACUAUUAGAGAGAAAAAGAAAGAAAGAAAGAAAGAAAGAAAGAAAGAAAGAAAGAAAGAAAGAAAGAAAGAAAGAAAGAAAGAAAGAAAGAAAGAAAGAAAGAAAGAAAAAAGAAAGAAAGAAAGAAAGAAAGAAAGAAAGAAAGAAAGAAAGAAAGAAAGAAAGAAAGGAAGGAAGGAAGGAAGGAAAGGAGGAAGGAAGGGAGGAAGGAAUAAACAUAGAUACUGUAUUACAAUACAGGUUAGAAUAUAAGAAGUUAAUAGUGGAGAUCAAACAGUGGGAUGAAGGAAUGCGGACAGGAGCAUGUCUUCUAAUUCAUAGGACCAAGAAUGUCUUCUUGCAAGCAGUGAUAACUAAGUCAGGUUUUAAAGAAAGAAAAGGAUUGAAAAAUGAUCAUUCUAAGGCUAAAAUAAUGCAAAUUGUAGUUUUACUGAGUAUCAUCAAAUGAUAGGGUAAUCAAGGACUGUGCUAACUUUAAUGUGCCAUAUAAAAGGUGACAUUAUGUAUAGAUAAAGGACUGUAUCUAUACUCAGAAAGACAAAAACUGGAAAAGAAUUUGGAAAAAAAUUGGUUUAGGUUAAUCACACCACAAAAAGCCAUAAGCUCAUGGUGGAUUUGACUUGAAUAUUUAAAAUCAUACUAUAAAAGAGAGAAUCAGGAGGUGGAGCCAGGAUGUUAGGGUAGAGGCAUGAAAGCUGAUACUUCCCUGAAAGGCUCCAACAACUAACCUUAAAGUGAUGUGUGAAAAGGUAUACUAGAGUAGCAGAAUCAGCAAAACAAUGGGGUGGGAAAAUUUUUCUACAGAACAGAACUUGAAAGGUAAAUAGAAAAGGUCUGUUUUACUGGGAUGAGAAGGGUGUACAGCCUGCAGCAGUACCACACAAUGAGCCCUAGUGCAAGCCAAUAGUAAACCUCCAUCCUUUCUCCAUUGCUUGAGGUUCUGACCCCUGUCCAAGAGAGCAACAAGACCAUGAAAUCCUGACUAAGCCAACAGCAGAGCAUCUCUGUGUACCCCCAUCAAAGUUCCAAGCUCUGAAGCAAUACUCCAAUCUGGAGCUCUUGGGCAAACCUGUAGUAAAUCUGCUAUGGAUAAAGUGAUAGACCUGUAAUUUGGAAGAUA